rnacentral:rRNA from 1 species
UUAAGCGACUAAGCGUACACGGUGGAUGCCCUGGCAGUCAGAGGCGAUGAAGGACGUGCUAAUCUGCGAUAAGCGUCGGUGAGGUGAUAUGAACCGUUAUAACCGGCGAUUUCCGAAUGGGGAAACCCAGUGUGUUUCGACACACUAUCAUUAACUGAAUCCAUAGGUUAAUGAGGCGAACCGGGGGAACUGAAACAUCUAAGUACCCCGAGGAAAAGAAAUCAACCGAGAUUCCCCCAGUAGCGGCGAGCGAACGGGGAGGAGCCCAGAGCCUGAAUCAGUGUGUGUGUUAGUGGAAGCGUCUGGAAAGGCGCGCGAUACAGGGUGACAGCCCCGUACACAAAAAUGCACAUAUUGUGAGCUCGAUGAGUAGGGCGGGACACGUGGUAUCCUGUCUGAAUAUGGGGGGACCAUCCUCCAAGGCUAAAUACUCCUGACUGACCGAUAGUGAACCAGUACCGUGAGGGAAAGGCGAAAAGAACCCCGGCGAGGGGAGUGAAAAAGAACCUGAAACCGUGUACGUACAAGCAGUGGGAGCCUCUUAAUGGGGUGACUGCGUACCUUUUGUAUAAUGGGUCAGCGACUUAUAUUCUGUAGCAAGGUUAACCGAAUAGGGGAGCCGAAGGGAAACCGAGUCUUAACUGGGCGUUAAGUUGCAGGGUAUAGACCCGAAACCCGGUGAUCUAGCCAUGGGCAGGUUGAAGGUUGGGUAACACUAACUGGAGGACCGAACCGACUAAUGUUGAAAAAUUAGCGGAUGACUUGUGGCUGGGGGUGAAAGGCCAAUCAAACCGGGAGAUAGCUGGUUCUCCCCGAAAGCUAUUUAGGUAGCGCCUCGUGAAUUCAUCUCCGGGGGUAGAGCACUGUUUCGGCAAGGGGGUCAUCCCGACUUACCAACCCGAUGCAAACUGCGAAUACCGGAGAAUGUUAUCACGGGAGACACACGGCGGGUGCUAACGUCCGUCGUGAAGAGGGAAACAACCCAGACCGCCAGCUAAGGUCCCAAAGUCAUGGUUAAGUGGGAAACGAUGUGGGAAGGCCCAGACAGCCAGGAUGUUGGCUUAGAAGCAGCCAUCAUUUAAAGAAAGCGUAAUAGCUCACUGGUCGAGUCGGCCUGCGCGGAAGAUGUAACGGGGCUAAACCAUGCACCGAAGCUGCGGCAGCGACGCUUAUGCGUUGUUGGGUAGGGGAGCGUUCUGUAAGCCUGUGAAGGUGGCCUGUGAGGGUUGCUGGAGGUAUCAGAAGUGCGAAUGCUGACAUAAGUAACGAUAAAGCGGGUGAAAAGCCCGCUCGCCGGAAGACCAAGGGUUCCUGUCCAACGUUAAUCGGGGCAGGGUGAGUCGACCCCUAAGGCGAGGCCGAAAGGCGUAGUCGAUGGGAAACAGGUUAAUAUUCCUGUACUUGGUGUUACUGCGAAGGGGGGACGGAGAAGGCUAUGUUGGCCGGGCGACGGUUGUCCCGGUUUAAGCGUGUAGGCUGGUUUUCCAGGCAAAUCCGGAAAACCAAGGCUGAGGCGUGAUGACGAGGCACUACGGUGCUGAAGCAACAAAUGCCCUGCUUCCAGGAAAAGCCUCUAAGCAUCAGGUAACAUCAAAUCGUACCCCAAACCGACACAGGUGGUCAGGUAGAGAAUACCAAGGCGCUUGAGAGAACUCGGGUGAAGGAACUAGGCAAAAUGGUGCCGUAACUUCGGGAGAAGGCACGCUGAUAUGUAGGUGAAGCGACUUGCUCGUGGAGCUGAAAUCAGUCGAAGAUACCAGCUGGCUGCAACUGUUUAUUAAAAACACAGCACUGUGCAAACACGAAAGUGGACGUAUACGGUGUGACGCCUGCCCGGUGCCGGAAGGUUAAUUGAUGGGGUUAGCGGUAACGCGAAGCUCUUGAUCGAAGCCCCGGUAAACGGCGGCCGUAACUAUAACGGUCCUAAGGUAGCGAAAUUCCUUGUCGGGUAAGUUCCGACCUGCACGAAUGGCGUAAUGAUGGCCAGGCUGUCUCCACCCGAGACUCAGUGAAAUUGAACUCGCUGUGAAGAUGCAGUGUACCCGCGGCAAGACGGAAAGACCCCGUGAACCUUUACUAUAGCUUGACACUGAACAUUGAGCCUUGAUGUGUAGGAUAGGUGGGAGGCUUUGAAGUGUGGACGCCAGUCUGCAUGGAGCCGACCUUGAAAUACCACCCUUUAAUGUUUGAUGUUCUAACGUUGGCCCGUAAUCCGGGUUGCGGACAGUGUCUGGUGGGUAGUUUGACUGGGGCGGUCUCCUCCUAAAGAGUAACGGAGGAGCACGAAGGUUGGCUAAUCCUGGUCGGACAUCAGGAGGUUAGUGCAAUGGCAUAAGCCAGCUUGACUGCGAGCGUGACGGCGCGAGCAGGUGCGAAAGCAGGUCAUAGUGAUCCGGUGGUUCUGAAUGGAAGGGCCAUCGCUCAACGGAUAAAAGGUACUCCGGGGAUAACAGGCUGAUACCGCCCAAGAGUUCAUAUCGACGGCGGUGUUUGGCACCUCGAUGUCGGCUCAUCACAUCCUGGGGCUGAAGUAGGUCCCAAGGGUAUGGCUGUUCGCCAUUUAAAGUGGUACGCGAGCUGGGUUUAGAACGUCGUGAGACAGUUCGGUCCCUAUCUGCCGUGGGCGCUGGAGAACUGAGGGGGGCUGCUCCUAGUACGAGAGGACCGGAGUGGACGCAUCACUGGUGUUCGGGUUGUCAUGCCAAUGGCACUGCCCGGUAGCUAAAUGCGGAAGAGAUAAGUGCUGAAAGCAUCUAAGCACGAAACUUGCCCCGAGAUGAGUUCUCCCUGAGACUUAGAGUCUCCUGAAGGAACGUUGAAGACGACGACGUUGAUAGGCCGGGUGUGUAAGCGCAGCGAUGCGUUGAGCUAACCGGUACUAAUGAACCGUGAGGCUUAACCUU